rnacentral:rRNA from 1 species
GGGAAACUGCCUGAUGGAGGGGGAUAACUACUGGAAACGGUAGCUAAUACCGCAUAACGUCGCAAGACCAAAGAGGGGGACCUUCGGGCCUCUUGCCAUCAGAUGUGCCCAGAUGGGAUUAGCUAGUAGGUGGGGUAACGGCUCACCUAGGCGACGAUCCCUAGCUGGUCUGAGAGGAUGACCAGCCACACUGGAACUGAGACACGGUCCAGACUCCUACGGGAGGCAGCAGUGGGGAAUAUUGCACAAUGGGCGCAAGCCUGAUGCAGCCAUGCCGCGUGUAUGAAGAAGGCCUUCGGGUUGUAAAGUACUUUCAGCGGGGAGGAAGGUGUUGUGGUUAAUAACCGCAGCAAUUGACGUUACCCGCAGAAGAAGCACCGGCUAACUCCGUGCCAGCAGCCGCGGUAAUACGGAGGGUGCAAGCGUUAAUCGGAAUUACUGGGCGUAAAGCGCACGCAGGCGGUCUGUCAAGUCGGAUGU